GUUAAUAUCACCCAUUACACAUUACAAAUACACUUUACAUUACAUUUCUAUCCUGAAAUAAAUUGCUGAUGAUUGCUUUCAAGGUUUGCUGAUUUACUGCCUGAUAGAUUUGCGUAAUAGAGAGCAUUCCAUAUUUUGACCAGCCCUGUCUGCAACUGACUAAUCCUGCCUGAGUAUGGGAAGAACGACGAAACAAACUUCAAUGUAAAUAUUUUACAUGUGCAAUGAAAAUUCCAUCAUGGAAUGCGACAUGGAGAACGACAAAGAUGAGUAACAAAGCCAUCAAAUAAAAAAAACUUGAUAUGUUUAUCUAAUCAAUGUUAUCCUGAUCCGUCAUCCGCAUUUUUACAACGACGUGAGUCAACUUUUAUACAUAUUUGCUCAAGAUAAUAAUAUGCUGCACUGAUCUUAUGCUCCUAGUUAGUUGACUAUGAAUUACCUUGGGCAGUGAUUUUACCAACUGAAUAUUUGAAUAUUAUCAUGCUUGAUAAAGCUGAAAUGAAUGGAAGGUUUGGAUUUUGUCUCGGUAAACUGAUAAAUUCUAUUAUGAAAAGCGUAUGUAUCUCAAUAGAUUUCAGUAUAUCUCAUUUAAAAACGAAAGAACCAUUUUCAGCUUAAAAUGAUUUUAACCGCUAAUGGUUUUAAUUACAGUGAAUAAAUUUUCAUGAUAUUAGGGUUUCAAAAA